UACGUAGGUGGCAAGCGUUGUCCGGAUUUAUUGGGUUUAAAGGGUGCGUAGGCGGCUAUAUAAGUCAGUGGUGAAAUAUCCCGGCUUAACCGGGAGGGUGGCAUUGAUACUGUAUGACUUGAGUAAAGUUGAGGUUGGCGGAAUUGACGGUGUAGCGGUGAAAUGCUUAGACAUCGUCAAGAACACCGAUAGUGAAGACAGCUAACUAAGCUUUAACUGACGCUGAGGCACGAAAGUGUGGGGAUCAAACAGG
rnacentral:rRNA from 1 species